rnacentral:rRNA from 1 species
CCUACGGGAGGCAGCAGUGAGGAAUAUUGGUCAAUGGGCGAGAGCCUGAACCAGCCAAGUCGCGUGAGGGAGUACUGCCCUAUGGGUUGUAAACCUCUUUUGUCGGGGAGCAAAAGCCGGACGUGUCCGGCUGUGAGAGUACCCGAAGAAAAAGCAUCGGCUAACUCCGUGCCAGCAGCCGCGGUAAUACGGAGGAUGCGAGCGUUAUCCGGAUUUAUUGGGUUUAAAGGGUGCGCAGGCGGAUUUUUAAGUCAGCGGUAAAAUCGUGGGGCUCAACCCCAUCCAGCCGUUGAAACUGGGGAUCUAGAGUGUGCGAGAGGUAUGCGGAAUGCGUGGUGUAGCGGUGAAAUGCAUAGAUAUCACGCAGAACCACGAUUGCGAAGGCAGCAUACCGGUGCACAACUGACGCUCAGGCACGAAAGCGUGGGUAUCGAACAGGAUUAGAUACCCGGGUAGUC